GGGGUCGUGGCGCAGCAGGUCAGCGCAGCCGGUUGUCAGCCGGAAGGUCGCGGGUUCGAAUCCCGCCGGUCCCG
rnacentral:tRNA from 1 species